rnacentral:lncRNA from 1 species
CAACAACACAGGAAGAACGAGUCCACAUGGACUCCUCCUGAGGGUCGAAAUGACAGUCUGGACCUAUACAUAGAAUGCUUCCACCGAUGUGCACAAGCAGAAAUUGUGGAAAAACAACAUCGCCUGCCUCAUAACCUAAGUUGUACAGAACGCAAUGCCAUCCACUGCCUCAGAAACAACCCUGACAUUGUAAUCAAAGAGGCUGAUAAAGGAGGUGCUGUUGUCAUCAUGAACAGGUCUGACUCCCAGACGGAGGCUGCCAGACAACUCUCCAAUACCAAAUUCUACAGGCCACUUUCCUCAGAUCCCACUGAGGAAUACACUAAGAAACUGCACCAUCUACUCAGGACACUCCCUACACUAACACAGGAACAAUUUAACAUACCCUUGGAGCCCCGACCGGGGUUAUUCUAUCUACUACCCAAGAUCCACAAACCUGGACGCCCCAUCAUCUCUGGAAUUGGCACUCUCACUGAAGGACUAUCCGGAUAUGUAGACUCUCUGCUCAGACCCUAUGCCACCAGCACUCCCAGCUAUCUCCGUGACACCACUGAUUUCCUGAGAAAACUACAAUGCAUUGGUGAUCUCCCAGAAAACACCAUCCUAGCCACCAUGGAUGUGGAGGCUCUCUACACAAACAUCCCACACACAGAUGGAAUACAAGCUGUCAGGAACAGUAUCCCUGAUGAUGACACAGCACAACUUGUUGCUGAGCUCUGUGACUUUAUCCUCACGCACAACUAUUUCAAAUUUGGUGACAAUAUAUAUCUCCAGACCAGUGGCACCGCUAUGGGCACCCGCAUGGCCCCACAAUAUGCCAACAUUUUUAUGGCUGACCUGGAACAACGCUUCCUCAGCUCUCGUCCACUCACGCCCCUCCUCUACCUAUGCUACAUUGACAACAACAUCAUCAUCUGGACCCAUGGGAAGGAGACUCUGGAAGAAUUCCACCACGAUUUCAACAGCUUCCACCCCACCAUCAACCUCAGCCUGGACCAAUCUACACGGGAGGUCCACUUCCUAGACACCACAGUACAAAUAAGCGAUGGCCACGUUAAUACCACCCUAUACCGAAAACCCACCAACCGCUAUGCCUA